CAUGGGCUAAUAAUGGGCCAAAGCUAAAGGCGCACACAUUCAAUAGCUAGCGCUAGAGCACAAGAAGACAAACCAAAGGCAAAGAUAAAAAUAAAAAGCAAGGAAGGUGAAAAGCAAUCUUUAAAUGGUUCUCUCCCUAACUAAAGUGAGAAGACCAAUCCACUACCAACGCCCACUUUUUUUUUCCAAUUGGCUACAUGUGUUUUUGCCCAACCCAACCUGCAUAUCCAGCACCAUGUCACACUGACUAGAGAAAAAAAAAAAGAAGAAGAAAGAAGUCAUAGUGGCACAAGUGUCACGGGUGUUAUACAUUAACACUCAGCCGCAAAACCUGCAGCCAUUCUUAGGACCAGCAAAGGCAAAAAAUCAAAAGGUAUUACUCUCCUUAAAUAUGUUUGAAGUUUGAAUCCUCCAUCAUAAAAAUAAAAUAAUACAUAUAAAGAACCUCCCCA